UAGAGAAGUGAAGAUUUGUAACCCAUUUUGCUUUCUGUAAAACAGAAUGAUGAUUAUUUUACAUGCACUACCAUCUGAUCUCUG